rnacentral:rRNA from 1 species
CCGCGAAUUCGCCCUUCGGGGUGCAGCAGGCGCGAAACCUUAGCAAUGUGCGAAAGCACGACUGGGUCAGUCCGAGUGAUUCCUGAUAAAGGAGUCUUUUGCUUGUCCUAAAAGCACAGGUGAAUAAGGGGUGGGCAAGUCUGGUGUCAGCCGCCGCGGUAAUACCAGCACCUCGAGUGGUCAGGACGUUUAUUGGGCCUAAAGCGUCCGUAGCCGGCUCUGCAAGUCUUCGGUUAAAUCCACCUGCUCAACAGAUGGGCCGCUGGAGAUACUACAGAGCUAGGGAGUGGGAGAGGCAGACGGUAUUCAGUGGGUAGGGGUAAAAUCCUCUGAUCCAUUGAGGACCACCAGUGGCGAAGGCGGUCUGCCAGAACACGUUCGACGGUGAGGGAUGAAAGCUGGGGGAGCAAACCGGAUUAGAUACCCGGGUAGUCCCAGCUGUAAACGAUGCAAACUCGGUGAUGCAUUGGCUUAUGGCCAAUGCAGUGCCGCAGGGAAGCCGUUAAGUUUGCCGCCUGGGAAGUACGGACGCAAGUCUGAAACUUAAAGGAAUUGGCGGGGGAGCAC